rnacentral:tRNA from 1 species
GCCCCGGUGGCUCAAAUGGUUAAGCGUUCAGCUGCUAACUGAAAGGUUGGUGGUUCGAACCCACCCAGCAGCU